rnacentral:rRNA from 1 species
GAUGAACGCUGGCGGCGUGCCUAAUACAUGCAAGUCGAGCGAACGGACGAGAAGCUUGCUUCUCUGCUGUUAGCGGCGGACGGGUGAGUAACACGUGGAUAACCUACCUAUAAGACUGGGAUAACUUCGGGAAACCGGAGCUAAUACCGGAUGAUAUUUUGAACCGCUUGGUUCAAAAGUGAAAGACGGUCUUGCUGUCACUUAUAGAUGGAUCCGCGCUGCAUUAGCUAGUUGGUAAGGUAACGGCUUACCAAGGCAACGAUGCAUAGCCGACCUGAGAGGGUGAUCGGCCACACUGGAACUGAGACACGGUCCAGACUCCUACGGGAGGCAGCAGUAGGGAAUCUUCCGCAAUGGGCGAAAGCCUGACGGAGCAACGCCGCGUGAGUGAUGAAGGUCUUCGGAUCGUAAAACUCUGUUAUUAGGGAAGAACAUAUGUGUAAGUAACUGUGCACAUCUUGACGGUACCUAAUCAGAAAGCCACGGCUAACUACGUG